GGAGUUGGCCAGAUCGUCGCCGCUUUUAUUGCUUGCAAUAAGAGGGGAGGAAAGUCCGGGCUUCAACAGGGCAGGGUGCCAGGUAACGCCUGGGUAGCGUGAGCUAACGACAAGUGCAGCAGAGAGGAAACCGCCGAUGUGUUUAUGUAAAUAAAUGCAGGUAAGGGUGAAAGGGUGCGGUAAGAGCGCACCGGCCAUCUAGUAAUAGUUUGGUGCAAGGUAAACUCCACCCGAAGCAAGACCAAAUAGGCUUCCUGAGGUAUGGCCCAUACUGGAAGCGGGUAGGUUGCUUGAGCCUGUGAGUGAUUGCAGGCCUAGACGAAUGACGAUUCAACGACAAAACCCGGCUUAUAGGCUGACUCUAUUA
rnacentral:RNase_P_RNA from 15 species